UACGAAGGGUGCAAGCGUUACUCGGAAUUACUGGGCGUAAAGGGUGCGUAGGUGGUUCUUUAAGUCUGCUGUGAAAGCCCCGGGCUCAACCUGGGAAUGGCAGUGGAUACUGGAGAGCUAGAGUGCGGUAGAGGGUAGUGGAAUUCCCGGUGUAGCAGUGAAAUGCGUAGAGAUCGGGAGGAACACCAGUGGCGAAGGCGAGUCCCUGGACGAUACCUGACACUGAGGCACGAAAGCCGGGGGAGCAAACAGG
rnacentral:rRNA from 1 species